GACGAACGCUGGCGGCGUGCCUAAUACAUGCAAGUCGAACGCAGUGGGGACGGGUGAGUAACACGUGGGUAACCUUCCAUCAGAGGGGAUAACACUUGGAAACAGGUGCUAAACCGAUACUGAUGGAUGGACCCGCGGUGCAUUAGCUAGUUGGUGAGGUAACGGCUCACCAAGGCGACGAUGCAUAGCCGAGCUGCGAGGAGGAGCAGCCACACUGGGACUGAGACACGGCCCCGACUCCUACGGGAGGCAGGAGUAGGGAAUUUUCGGCAAUGGACGAAAGUCUGACCGAGCAACGCCGCGUGAGUGAAGAAGGUUUUCGGAUCGUAAAACUCUGUUGUUAGAGAGGCGGUAUCUAACCAGAAAGCCACGGCUAACUACGUGCCAGCAGCCGCGGUAAUUC
rnacentral:rRNA from 1 species